rnacentral:rRNA from 1 species
UGACGCUGGCGGCAGGCCUAACACAUGCAAGUCGAGCGGAAACGAGUUAUCUGAACCUUCGGGGAACGAUAACGGCGUCGAGCGGCGGACGGGUGAGUAAUGCCUGGGAAAUUGCCCUGAUGUGGGGGAUAACCAUUGGAAACGAUGGCUAAUACCGCAUAAUAGCUUCGGCUCAAAGAGGGGGACCUUCGGGCCUCUCGCGUCAGGAUAUGCCCAGGUGGGAUUAGCUAGUUGGUGAGGUAAUGGCUCACCAAGGCGACGAUCCCUAGCUGGUCUGAGAGGAUGAUCAGCCACACUGGAACUGAGACACGGUCCAGACUCCUACGGGAGGCAGCAGUGGGGAAUAUUGCACAAUGGGCGCAAGCCUGAUGCAGCCAUGCCGCGUGUAUGAAGAAGGCCUUCGGGUUGUAAAGUACUUUCAGCAGUGAGGAAGGUGGUUGUGUUAAUAGCACUAUCAUUUGACGUUAGCUGCAGAAGAAGCACCGGCUAACUCCGUGCCAGCAGCCGCGGUAAUACGGAGGGUGCGAGCGUUAAUCGGAAUUACUGGGCGUAAAGCGCAUGCAGGUGGUUUGUUAAGUCAGAUGUGAAAGCCCCGGGCCUCAACCUCGGAAUUGCAUUUGAAACUGGCAGACUAGAGUACUGUAGAGGGGGGGUAGAAAUUUC